GACGAACUGUCCUAACGUUGUUCGGAAUCACUGGGCUUAAAGGGCGCGUAGGCGGUCCGACAAGUCAGGGGUGAAAUCCUGCAGCUCAACUGUAGAAGUGCCUUUGAUACUGUCGGUCUUGAGGGAAAUAGGGGUGUGCGGAACUUCCAGUGGAGCGGUGAAAUGCGUUGAUAUUGGAAGGAACGCCGGAGGCGAAAGCGGCGCACUGGAUUUCUUCUGACGCUGAGGCGCGAAAGCUAGGGGAGCAAACGGG
rnacentral:rRNA from 1 species